UACGUAGGGGGCUAGCGUUGUCCGGAAUCAUUGGGCGUAAAGCGCGUGUAGGCGGCCCGGCAAGUCCGCUGUGAAAGUCGGGGGCUCAACCCUCGAAUGCCGGUGGAUACUGUCGGGCUAGAGUACGGAAGAGGCGAGUGGAAUUCCUGGUGUAGCGGUGAAAUGCGCAGAUAUCAGGAGGAACACCAGUUGCGAAGGCGGCUCGCUGGGACGUUACUGACGCUGAGGCGCGAAAGCGUGGGGAGCGAACGGG
rnacentral:rRNA from 1 species